rnacentral:lncRNA from 1 species
UCCCCUUGGAGAGAGCUUCCUUUUGGCGGCAGCGGCGUCGGUUUUGGUGGCCGGAUGAGAGAGUUCCGGCGAAGUGGAGGCAGCCGCAUUUUUGGGCUUUUUCGGCGAGCUCCGGCGGAGGAUGGAUGAUCGGAGGAUGUAUCCCGACUCUCCUCAGCUCAAGCUUCGCGAUGGCACUGGUUUCGUGGCGAUCGGGCUUCGUUUGCAAAUCGACG